UUUCAAAGUGUUCAGUUCAGGGGAACUUCCCUGCUCUGUUAAUUAAAGCUUGGAACACUGAAACUGGCUAGGGAAAAUGAUCGGAUAGAAAAUAUUAUUCUAUUCAUUUAUCCCUAGCCUACAAAA
rnacentral:snoRNA from 1 species